rnacentral:lncRNA from 1 species
UAACCAAAUCUUAUUUUAAUCUUGAUUGAAACUUUAAUGUAUCUUGACUAAAUCUUAGGUCAAAUCUUAAUUAAAUCCUAAAUUCUUAACCAAAUCCUAGACAAACUUUAAAUUUUAAAUCCUAAAUCAAACCUUAGACAAACCCUAAGCUCUAAACAAAUCCUAAAUUCUAAAUCAAAUCCUAUGCAAAUCCUAAAUCUUAAACCAAAUCUUAGACAAACCUUAAAUCCUAAAUCAAAUCCUGGAUAAAUCUUAAAUCUUAAAUCAAACCGUAGACAAAAUCUAAAUCCUAAAUCAA